ACCAAGAGGGACAUAUUACUAUUUUUUCUUCACCUUCUUUGUACACACAGAAGGAAAAAAAACCUAAAAAUCAUACUCCUGAACUUCUGUGAAAAUUCUGGACUGCAAUUUACAUGUUUGUGUUAUCCACUUUACUUAAGUUUGUGCAUAAAACACAAACAGCCUCUCCACAGCAACUGCUAUAUACCUAAAAUGGCACAGAAAAUCUCAUCUCCCUGUUUCAGGUGAAUCCAAACUACCCUUGUUACUGCCAUUAAACUAGUUUAUAUUCAGCCUUGAUGGGCAGAUUUAGGCCUAUGGUUUCUGUAAUUUUUCAGAAAUCAAGUUUAUAUGUAGUUAAGGAUAUAUACUAACCUUGUGAAACUGAAAAAAGCCUCUUGAAAUUCAACAUGUUUCACACAGAACCUACACUAGUAUCACAAAAUGAAAUAUCACCAUUUCAGAAGAACAGUGGAAAACUUAUAGACUAUGGGAAAGCAUGAUUCCAUAACUCUUCCAGUCUGAAGUUCUUAUGACAUGCAAAUCUCUUCUGCAGCUGGCAUAUGUAUCAGUAAAGCAAAUAAAGUUCCUGUGAAAGCCUGCCAGACUCCAUUAAAAUAAUCAUUGAAGCAAAGGUUCAAGAUGAGGGGUUUAUCCAGCUUGGUAUUAUUAAAGGAAAGCUCAUGUACACUAGAGGAACAUCCAGAAAUGUUUACAAAAGCACAGUAUUAGGUAACUGUCAAAAUGUGAGAGGAAGCCAGAGAUCUUAAGACAGACCCAAAUCUGAGAACAAUGACAUCUGUCACUGAGGUUCUGCAGACCUUGGUCUCAAAAAUACACCGAAUUAGGUAUACUUGCCUUGUAGAUUCCAAAGACACAUACACAUCAAUAACUACAUUUUUGACGAUAGAUGGACAAAAGGGCUACAACCCAAGAGAAAUAGAAGUGGUCUUCCAGAAAAAACACAGGGGAAGGACUACAAGGUUCCCUCCACUGGCAGGCUGCCCACUGACCUGCAGAGCAGUGAUCUGACCCAAGGCUGAUGGCCAGGACCUCAGUGCAAUGUAAUGCCAUUAAACCUUUUCUUUACGCUCAGGAAAAAAACCUUAAAAUCUGUCAGAACGCUGCAUAUUGCUUUUAAACACCCAACAUACUCCCUCACGGAACAAAUAAACACAAUAGCUAUGCAAAAACCUCAUAGCCAGGUUAACUGCCACAAAGCCUCUGGCCUAAGCUAGAAACAAAGGCUUUGCAGCACAUUUCCUUGAGUACUGACCACUUCCAUAGUUAAGAUCCAAAUUUGUCUGGGAGCAGAGAAUGAUUAUACGUAGGAAGAUGAGAAGCUGAACACACAAAACCCUAUCGUUCAGCAUCCUAUUUUUGCAACAAAACAGGUAACACAGUCCUUCACAACACAUUUGUGAUCACCUGCCUAUACAAAACUGCAGGCUAUUUCCCACAGGUGGGUCUGGCUGCCUGCUGCUGAGUCAGUCCCCCCUCAGUCAGGCAGACAGCUCCCGCAGGAUGACGUGUUCUGGAUCACCCUCCCAGAGCCCCUUCUCACUGCUGGCUGUCCCCAGUGCCCCGUGGGACGAGAACCACGCUGCACCAAGCACCAACCUGCACCAAGCACCAACCUGCUCUGCCCCAUGGUUGCCCGCAGGUCCUGCUGCAUGCACUGCAGCAUUUUUGUUUUGCCAUGCUGCUGCUCAGUUGUUUUCCAAGCAGUUUCGUGCAGCAGAUGUUCCCAGUCCCACAUGUGCUUUAUCGCUCCCUCUAAUGACAUUUUUCCUAUGAAAACAGUAGCUUCAACUGCUUUUGCUGUUUUUGUGAAAAAAACAAAUCCUACACUUUGGUUUUCUUUACAGACUUCUCAGAAAUAGUGGAGGUGGGGCUUUUCUCUCCUCGUCCUCCACCCAUACUGGUAGCAAGGGAAGACGCUUCCUUGGAGCCUCUACUCAGGUCUCCCUGCCUGUGCCCCCUGACUCCCACCGAGCUGUGGGAAAUGAAUUUUUGAAAGCUCUUCCCACCCCACUUGCUGAGAUGAAUGAAGACACAGACACACAAAAUAACUUCUUUAGACCACAGACAGCAAGAACAUUUUUAAAAACUCUCCUUUUUUCCUCUCUUGGCUGUUCAUGCAGACUCUGAAGGGGAACUUUGUCAGCCCCAAUAGUGAUGAGAGCAGCCUCUUCCUCCGCUUCUGCCUGAUGUACCUGUGACUUGUUUUGCUUCCCAAGCUGGGACCACAACAGCUCACUGCUUUGAGUGGUGCUGGCACUGAGUCACAGAAGAUGACAAAAUAAGGGGUGCCCUCACCACACAACACCUGAACAGAAGAGAUCCGUGCUCUGCAGGAGGAUGUGCAAUUUCCAUCCCUAUUCACCUGUCCCGCUCUUUGUCCAGAGUGGAUUUAGAACUACAACUCCUGUUUUAUAAUCUGCUCCCAAAUACCAGUUCACUCCACCCCUUUUUUCACUCCCUCCACACCUUUAGUCUGUCAUUUGCCUGGAAUUUUUUCCCCUUCUCCUCUUUACACUUCACUCCCACAGCUCACCCACCCACCCGACGAAUAAGAGGGGGAGAGCUCACAGGGGAAGAGAAAGGCUUUUACAGGUCACAUUCAAACUUACUGAAUUGAAGAGCAUCAUGGCUUCCUGCCUUUUCAGAAGGCAUAAUACUGCAGAUACAAAGUGCUGCUUGCCUAAAAAUAAAGACUCUGUUUGCUGGAAGCAUGAAGGAUAUGGAGCAGCACAGAACAUACAGGAGAAGGACGGGUAUAUUUCCAUCUGAUGGGGUUCACAGACUCCCCACUAGAAACCACAUAAUUAAAUACCAAGCCCUACAGUUUUGGUACUGAGACAAGCACUGAAAUAUUAAAAUGCAAAUUAGAAAUCUGACUCAAACUUGCAGGGGUCACCAAGUUCAAGGGAAUGCCUUGUACUCAUCCCUCCUCCAGUCCAACUUUAAACAUUAAGUGCUCUCUGUGUUUGAAAAGCUGUGUAAUACUGAAAAAAUGGGAUGGAUUAAGGACAGCAUGUUCAUUAGUUUUAGUAUUAGUUUUGAAGGUUUUGAAAGAUUUUGUCAGAAUUAUGCUUUGUGCAGAUACUCCUACCAGGAGCACACACUUUCAAACCAGCCCAGUGUCUGCAGCUCUCACAGCCCUCUAAUGGCUGCUCCAGCCCUAUGAGACACUUCAGUGCUCACACUGAAACGAAAUAGUCUCACUAAUUCACCACUAAUAAUUCCACCAGGUUUGAUUUUAAUUUGCAUGCAACUUCUCUGUGCUUGAGGAGCCAGAGAUACCCCAAUCAUUACAUUAAAAGGCUAACCACUACUUAAGCCUUUUUAAUUCACAGUGAAGUUUAUUCAGCUGUUCCUUUCCAGCUGCAAGGAGAGACCUUGAACUGUGAGGCAAAGUGACAGCUCUGGAAUGUAUUAACACGUGCAGAAAAACAGUCUCUGGACCUGCAGAAACUUACCUCCCCGGUUGUUUAAGGUCCUUCCAUCUGAGCAGCCAAUUGCCUAAGCUAUCAGAACCAAACACACUGAGGCUGAGUUUACGAAAGGCAAACUCUGGUUUAGCAGAUUUUGAACAAAAGAAAAUGGUCUCAUUGCUGCUAUUUAUUUUCUGCCUCACACAGAAAAUGAAGACAAAACUGUUCAAGACAAAACUUUGUGAAAUCCAUCCUCUUUAAGCCAGCAGUAAACUAAUUACGAGCAAAUUCUUCUUGCUUGCAUGUGUGCAGUUCCCAUCAAGUUCAGCAAGGCCCCACAUGCGUAAGUGAGGCAUAAGUCAACCAUAGACUCCUUUGAUCUUGUGCCCUUAAUCACAAUAGCGAUAGAAAUAUUUCCUAACACCAAACCAUGCUCUCAUUCCAUUUUUAAACGUGGUUUUACAGUGAUGUAGUAAAGAUCUGUAGUGCAAUACUGAAGAAAUGAACAAGGCAGAGCAGUUGUCCUUUCAUCUAGUUCACUGCUAUCCCGCUCCUUCAAUUACUACCCCAGAGUUCAUUCCCCUAGUUUUGCAGAGCCACUCCUGAGCCUACACAAAAGGUGCCCCGGGAGCACACCUUCCAGUACACUGCUGGAUUCCAGAAAAUUAUCCUGCAAGUAGUCUGUCCAGAUUUCAGAGCAUUUUCUGCAGUCACUACCCGAGAGAGAGGCUGUGAAAGCCUGCACAGUGUUGUACACCUCGACUGCCUCCAUCCUCAGCUGGGGAGAACCCCCUUACUCUGAAUCUUGAAUCUGCAGCCAUGUACACAGGCCAUCUACACAAUUAAUCCCUUCAAAUCUUGCCUCCAUCUCAUACACAACUUGUUCUGUUACGAGGGAGACUUCCACAAAGUCAGGGGACUAAGAUGAGAUCUUGUCUUGUGCAGUGGAUGAAUUCAUAGAUUGUAAGUGUUUGACAUAAAGCCUCAGAGCUUGUAAGUGCAAGCUGCACAACUAGAACUGUGUGGUAGGAAUGUGGCUGACUACUGUGGAAGUGUCUCCCCAGUCUGCAGUAAAAGCCCUUGUCAAGUCACUGCCGGUGAUGUGCAGUUGCCUUAUAAAUGUAAAUAAGUAAACGAAAAUGUAAAGAAAUACGCCUUGUUUCCUUCUGCCCUUCUACUCAGAAACAUAAAGAGAACUCAGUCUCAUGCUAUGGAUCACACACCUACAAAACUUCUUCUUGAAGCGAAAAAAGGCUAAAGCCAGUACAGUUUUUUUGGCACUCCUGUAACAUAAACACUGCCUUUCCUUUUGGGAGCUAAGCCUUACAUGCCAAAUUUUAAAUCCAACUGAAAUUUUGCAAUCACUGUUAACUGUGAAAAUGCUGAUGCAGCAUUCGUAUCAACAGUGUUUUGGCACUGCUUUGAAUUAAUGUUUGUUCUCCUCUCAUACAGUACUUUGGCACUAGGAAACUACUCCCCACACAAACACACCUAUUGCGUUACAACACAUGCAGCAUGAGCCUCAGGAAUGCCACAAGAGCAGCAAGGGAGGCCCACAGGCACUUUCAAAGACAAGAGGGAAGAGAAGCUACUCAGGGAUUAAAAGACAAACAUUCAGAUUACAACCACCCAUCAAUACUGGAGACAGUCCUUUCCCUUCCUCCUCACACAGACUGCAUGUCACUUGACAGGCUUGAGACCACUAAGCCCAAAAAUUAUCACAGGUUGUAUAAUUGAGCUUCAUUCCAAUUCACACAACAACAACAAAAAAAAUCCAUGCCUCUGCGUUUAGGGACCUCAUUGAUGGAACCCUUUUUAUCUCAAGUGUACAAGCUACAGAGCAGAGUCCUGAGGUGAAGGAAGACAGCAGAGGGUAGUAACCACAUCAGACACAACCAAUUUUACCUACUGAUCUUCCAAACAAGUCUACUCUCAAAGAUGCAAGGAAAUACCCCAACAGGACAUCUUUAAGAAUGUACCAAAUCCUUAGAAUCCCCAAGGCCAUGCUCAGUGCAAUACUGAUUGCUGCUGUGGUGCCAAACUUUCUAAACCUUCUGUCUGAAAGGCCACACCAGCGACCGAGCAGUCUGAUGACACCAAGUCGAAAUCACCACGCGCACACACCCACACCCACUCACAAAAGGAGACUCCCUGCACCUGAGAUUUCCAUGUCAGGCCAGGACUGCC